rnacentral:rRNA from 1 species
UAGGGAAUCUUCCGCAAUGGGCGAAAGCUUGACGGAGCAACGCCGCGUGAGUGAUGAAGGUCUUCGGAUCGUAAAACUCUGUUAUUAGGGAAGAACAAAUGUGUAAGUAACUAUGCACGUCUUGACGGUACCUAAUCAGAAAGCCACGGCUAACUACGUGCCAGCAGCCGCGGUAAUACGUAGGUGGCAAGCGUUAUCCGGAAUUAUUGGGCGUAAAGCGCGCGUAGGCGGUUUUUUAAGUCUGAUGUGAAAGCCCACGGCUCAACCGUGGAGGGUCAUUGGAAACUGGAAAACUUGAGUGCAGAAGAGGAAAGUGGAAUUCCAUGUGUAGCAGUGAAAUGCGCAGAGAUAUGGAGGAACACCAGUGGCGAAGGCGACUUUCUGGUCUGUAACUGACGCUGAUGUGCGAAAGCGUGGGGAGCGAACAGG